rnacentral:lncRNA from 1 species
AGUCAUAAGGUGCUGGCUUGGAAACUGCUCUGCAUGGUGUCCUACCUUCUUUUGAAACUAGAUGGUUCUGCAUAGCCCAGCGUCUGCUUUCUAUUUCUGUGGUUCAGGCACGACUGUUUGUUAAGAUAAUGACAAAGAACAUUGACAUCCAGCACACAUGGGACUUAUGGACUUUGCUGACUAUUUUUGAAAGCUCUGUAGGAUGUGUGGAAGCUUAGAGACUUCAGACAGAAGGUAGACUGUGAAUCAUGGAACCACCGAUGCUCACAGCUCCCCCACCAAACCAAGGGAAAUGACAAGAAGUCGGCAGACCUCUCAAGGUUACUGUCAUUCAACCGAAGUUAUUGUAUGCACAUACCAAAGUGACCAGUCUUCCCCUGAGUGAGAAAGCUAGUUUAAUCCUACAGUGUGAGAUUCAUGAUUUUAAUUCUGGGAAAGAAAAGCUUGCAAGACCCUCUUCUCCCAACACCUGGACUGCAAGCAGGCUCCUGAGCCUUGGGUCACAAGGAAUGCAAAGAUGCCCUGGCAGCCUUUUGAAUCCUUGAGACUUCUUGGUAAUGUGAGAGAGAUACUUUUCCACGAGCACUUAGAUAGAGAAAGGACACAAUUUCACUAUAAAAAUAUUACUAAAUUGCCAAAGGCACAUACAUGCCAGUUCUUAAGGAAGACAAUCUGAGCCACCUCCACAUCACAGGAAUAAAAAGGCCCCCUUCCUCCCCAGACUAACGGUCUGAGUGAGUGUCCCAGCAUUUGUGCAGUAGUCUUUCUUCAGAACCAAGGUGGGGUGGGAGGAGCCUCUGUUUUCCUACAGCCGUCCUGAAGUCGGGGUGAGGAAACUUUGCUUUUGUAUUUAAACUUUAGAAUUCUCGCUACUCUUGAAGGCUUAUGAAGCUUUGGGGUUCUGGUGUCUUCCCAUUCUCCACCUCAGCAACCUUCAAGUCCAACUAAGAGGCCGACACUGCUGAAGGCCGAUCAUGAAUUUUCAUUGAGGGGAGGAGCUGCUGCAGGGAGCGAUAACACGCUCGAAUGGUGAGCAGCUCUGCUCCCCCAGCCUUUUGCAACUGUCCACUGAUACAGCCGUGGGCAGAACAGAGGUGGCUUUGGAAACCCCAUGUGCUUGGAUCUGAAGCAGGGAGCAGCUGGAUCCAGCCAUGGUCGAUGGGGAGGGUGGCAGUGGCAGACACAGAAACUGACCCAUAAGCACAUGGCUCCUGGGAGAAACCUGGGAGCAUGUGAUAUGCAGAUGAAGUAUCUCCAGGGACAACCAAAAAGAGGCAGAGGGACAAAGGCUAUGAUUGACAUCAGGAGUCCACUCAUUCCAGUUAGUGCUAUACAGUAGAAUGUAGCCAUACUGCUGGUUCAUGUUCGCUGAGGUCUUUCCGUCACUGUGAAGUCAGCCUACGGCACUGCCAUUUAUCCAAUGACGUAAUGCCUCGUUGUUAAACGUCAUUGCUACGUGUCUAGAUUUCCCAUAACCAUGGAAACACACUCUUGAGUUUCUAGAAAGAUUUUUAUUGAAGAGGAUAGACCCACUCUGAUUGUGAGUGGUACCUUGGGGUUCUGGAUCAUGUAAGAAGGAAAUUCAAGCUUGGCAUUAGACGCCAUCUCUUUGCUUCCUGACUGGAUACGAAAUGAGCAGUGUCCUUACUCUCCUGCCCUACCUGUGCACCAAAAAAAACCCUGACUUGAGAAGUAAAGUGACUAACACAUGCCUCUAGUCACUAGAGUCUGGUGUCCAUGGAUGGAGUCUGGCGCCAGUUGAAUGUACUUUGAAUGAAGGAACAAAGGGGGAAGGAGCAUGGAUGUGACAGAGGCAAUAUGGACACUGGUAUCUGAGGGAAUAAUGAUAAGGAAAGCAUCCGUCCAUGCUCAGGAUAAUUGGAGGCUCCCCGGUACUUUCAAUACACAGGAAACUGAAUCCAUGUAUGCGUAAUCCACAGACAGGGAAGGCCAUCUGCACCUGGGAAAGAAUAUCUAGUGGAGUGACCAAUCCAUGGUAACAGAGUCAGGACCUUCAGCAAGGACCUUCAGCAGAGGAUGGAAGAGAGAACACAGAACUAAUCUAAUGUGACAACGCUGUCCUAGGAGCCAGGAGCCACUCACAUGGCUCCAGUUGCUUUAUUAAGACAAGAUUGCGAGAAUACAGAAGCUGAGAGGCCUGUCCAUAAACCAUCUGAGACGCCUGCUUGGAAGAGAAGGUAGCUUGGAGCAGAUAUGGAGAUGAUGGAAAGUUGUCGUUUUGAUCCUGUAAGAAUCAUUUGAAGAAUGGGAGCGGGGUGUACACUAAAAAUUCCAAAUGACUUUCUAGAGCUUCUCCUGAGCUAUUAGAAAAUUGAAACUGCCUUUGGUUGGAAAGAGGAAAACCAAGAAAGAGACAGUUCUAGAGAGAGCAUCUUAAGAGCUAGGGGUUGAUGACAUUAAUGAAUGAGGUGCCCCGCAGCCAUCUAAACAGAGAUACAAGAGUCUUUGGGAGUCAAGAGAAAGGUUGGGCCUAGACAUGAAAAUUUGCUAGUUUCUAACAUGUAAAAAUAGUUAAGAAAAUGCGUAACACCGUCGCUGAAGUUCAUAAUGAUGGAAAAACUUACUCAAAGUACUCAAGUUACUCAAAAUACAGCUUACUGAUAAACAGUAUCAUAUCACCUAGGAACACGUUAGCUAUGCAAAUCCGUAGGCUUAUCUACACCCUUGGAAUCAGAUAUUCUGUGGGUAGGGCCCUGCACAUUUGUACAGCAAACCUUCCAGGUGUUUCCUUUGCCUACUAAAAUUUGAGAACCACUGAUAUAGAAAUUAGAAAGCAAAGAAGAAGGCCAAGGGAAAACCCAGAGAGGAAGAAGACCAGAGGGCACAGGGCGGGGGGGGGGGGGCGGUUUACUGGAAAUCAAGCCGACAAAGCAUUGCAAGUAGAAGAGGCAUCCAUGAUGUGCCAUGCGCCUAAGAACUACACACAUUGUCUCCAAGGUGGAGGACAUUCUGUCAUCUAUCAAAACUAGACAAUGCAUUUUUAUGACUCUGUGUUCUUCAUCUGGUCCAGAUGAGAAAAAUAAGAACAAGAAGAGAGGCUGGAAGGAGCAAGUGGGAGAAGCAAGAUGGAGUACCAGUUACAAGCCACAAGCGUCCACCCAGGUGCUCAUCCACAGUAAAAAGCAAGAAGAUGACAUGGAUGAGCAGGGAGCUUGGUUGUAAUCCCAGACCCUUAGAGGCAGAGACACUGUGACCUCCAAGACAGUGAGGACUAUAUAGUAAGACUUUGUCUCAGGAUGAAUCUUGUAUUUACCCUGAGGGGGGGGAAAAGUGGAAAAGAAG